rnacentral:rRNA from 1 species
CCUACGGGAGGCAGCAGUGAGGAAUAUUGGACAAUGGACGGAAGUCUGAACCAGCCAUGCCGCGUGCAGGAUGACGUCUCUAUGAGUUGUAAACUGCUUUUGCAUUAGGGUAAACAACCCUACGUGUAUGGGCUUGAAAGUAUAAUACGAAUAAGGAUCGGCUAAAUCCGUGCAAGCAGCAGCGGUAAUACGGAGGAUCCAAGCGUUAUCCGGAUGUAUUGGGUUUAAAGGGUGCGUAGUCGGUUUGAGAAGUUAGAGGUGAAAUACCGGUGCUCAACACCGGAACUGCAUCUAAUACUGUUGAACUAGAGAGUAGUUGCGGUAGGCGGAAUGUAUGGUGUAGCGGUGAAAUGCUUAGAGAUCAUACAGAACACCGAUUGCGAAGGCAGCUUACCAAACUAUAUCUGACGUUGAGGCACGAAAGCGUGGGUAGCAAACAGGAUUAGAUACCCGGGUAGUC